AGCAAAUGUAAUAACAUGCUUGUGCUGUGUUUGCUUUUAAAUUGUCUCUGGUGUCUCCACAAGUGGGAUACCAGAGGACAAAAGGGCCAGGAAAGUGUAUGGUGCAUGUGUUUGGCGCAUGCUUGUGGGAUUGCCUGUGUGUAGAGUGUAGUGUGGUAUUGUGUAAAUAGUUCAAUUUUGGGGUGUUAUAUGUGUGGCUAGGGGCUGUAGAGAGUGUGUGUAUAGAGGCAUAGUGUUAUAGGGGAUGUAGCGAGUCUGUGCAUACGGGCAGUAUUGUGUGUGUAUAGGUGACGUAGUGUGUGUAGGGUUUGUAGAGAGGGUGUGUUUAGAGAAUGUUGUAUGUGUUUGCUUACAAGGAAUGUAGUGUGUGUGUAGGUGGUG